rnacentral:rRNA from 1 species
GACGUAGGGCGCGAGCGUUGUCCGGAUUUAUUGGGCGUAAAGAGCUCGUAGGCGGCUUGUCGCGUCGGCUGUGAAAUCCCGUGGCUUAACUGCGGGUCUGCAGCCGAUACGGGCAGGCUAGAGUUCGGUAGGGGAGACUGGAAUUCCUGGUGUAGCGGUGAAAUGCGCAAAUAUCAGGAGGAACACCGGUGGCGAAGGCGGGUCUCUGGGCCGAUACUGACGCUGAGGAGCGAAAGCGUGGGGAGCGAACAGG